rnacentral:rRNA from 1 species
GAUGAACGCUGGCGGCGUGCCUAAUACAUGCAAGUCGAGCGAACAGAUGAGGAGCUUGCUCCUCUGACGUUAGCGGCGGACGGGUGAGUAACACGUGGAUAACCUACCUAUAAGACUGGGAUAACUUCGGGAAACCGGAGCUAAUACCGGAUAAUAUAUUGAACCGCAUGGUUCAAUAGUGAAAGACGGCUUUGCUGUCACUUAUAGAUGGAUCCGCGCCGCAUUAGCUAGUUGGGAAGGUAACGGCUUACCAAGGCAACGAUGCGUAGCCGACCUGAGAGGGUGAUCGGCCACACUGGAGCGGAGACACGGUCCAGACUCCUACGGGAGGCAGCAGUAGGGAAUCUUCCGCAAUGGGCGAAAGCCUGACGGAGCAACGCCGCGUGAGUUAUGAAGGUCUUCGGAUCGUAAAACUCUGUUAUUAGGUAAGAACAAAUGUGUAAGUAACUAUGCACGUCUUGACGGUACCUAAUCAGAAAGCCACGGCUAACUACGUG